GGGGUUGUGGCUCAGUGGUAGAGGGCAUGCUUAGCAUGCAUGAGGCACUGGGUUCGAUCCUCAGCACCACA
rnacentral:tRNA from 1 species